rnacentral:rRNA from 1 species
UGGGCAGCUUGACUGCUUAGUAGCGUAGCUAACGCGUGAAAUCGACCGCCUGGGGAGUACGGUCGCAAGAUUAAAACUCAAAGGAAUUGACGGGGACCCGCACAAGCGGUGGAUGAUGUGGAUUAAUUCGAUGCAACGCGAAGAACCUUACCUGGUCUUGACAUGUACGGAACCUUCCAGAGACGGAAGGGUGCCUUCGGGAGCCGUAACACAGGUGCUGCAUGGCUGUCGUCAGCUCGUGUCGUGAGAUGUUGGGUUAAGUCCCGCAACGAGCGCAACCCUUGUCAUUAGUUGCCAUCAUUCAGUUGGGCACUCUAAUGAGACUGCCGGUGACAAACCGGAGGAAGGUGGGGAUGACGUCAAGUCCUCAUGGCCCUUAUGACCAGGGCUUCACACGUCAUACAAUGGUCGGUACAAAGGGUAGCCAAGCCGCGAGGCGGAGCCAAUCUCAUAAAACCGAUNGUAGUCCGGAUUGCACUCUGCAACUNGAGUGCAUGAAGU